GACGAACGCUGGCGGCGUGCCUAAUACAUGCAAGUCGAGCGGAGUUAGAGAAGCUUGCUUCUCUAACUUAGCGGCGGACGGGUGAGUAACACGUGGGCAAUCUGCCCGUAAGACUGGGAUAACUCCGGGAAACCCGGGGCUAAUACCGGAUAAUCCUGACUCUCUCCUGAGAGUCAGUUGAAAGAUGGUUUCGGCUAUCACUUACGGAUGAGCCCGCGGCGCAUUAGCUAGUUGGUAGGGUAAUGGCCUACCAAGGCGACGAUGCGUAGCCGACCUGAGAGGGUGAUCGGCCACACUGGGACUGAGACACGGCCCAGACUCCUACGGGAGGCAGCAGUAGGGAAUCUUCCGCAAUGGACGAAAGUCUGACGGAGCAACGCCGCGUGAGUGAAGAAGGUUCUCGGAUCGUAAAACUCUGUUGUUAGGGAAGAACACGUACGAGAGUAACUGCUCGUACCUUGACGGUACCUAACCAGAAAGCCACGGCUAACUACGUG
rnacentral:rRNA from 1 species